GUUUGUUGGUUGUGCUGUGAGGAAGAAGGUGUUAGUACUGCAAGGAGCGUCGUAGGAAGCUGAAGAAGGAUCUUUCAAGCAAGUCAAGGAAGAGGUAUCACAUUGGCUGUGUGGGUGUUUGCCAUGUGGAACGCAGAUUCUUACUAGACAGAACCCCAAAUGAGAAAAAUCUCCAAGCUAUUACCUAAUAAAGUAAAAAGUUAGAAAGGAAUACACCAGAACAGUGAAUGGAAAAAAUCAGAAGCAUGGUUUAAUUCAUCUUUUCUUCAGUGGAAGAGACUUGAAUUGUAAUGUCAGGAUAGAGGCAUGGGGAAGAAGAAUCAGUUAAGGAUAAGAGAAUGAAGUCAUAUUUGCCUAACUCAGAAACCUCAUGUUGAAGAGCUCACAUCAAGGGGAGACAAGUCAUUCCCCUGCUGCACCGUUGGGUCCCUCCCAUGGAAGACAGGUCUCCAUUAACUUCUCCAGCGUGGAUCCAUCUCAAGAGCUACAGCUCUCCACGAACUGCUGCGGUGUGGAUCACUCUUCCAUAGGGUGCAGUCUUUCAAGGACAGGCUGCUCCAUUAGGGGAGCAGAUCCCCUCUCUCCUGUGGGCUCACAACCUCCUCCAGGUAUCCAGUUGCUCCAUCGUCAGCUCCUCCUCCAUGGGCUGGGGGUGAAUCUCUGCAUCCCCACGGACCUCCUCUGCCUGCAGGGGCACAGCUGCUUCACCAUGGUCUGCACCACAAGCUGCAGAGGGAUCUCAGCUCCAGGGGCUGGGGCACCUCCUUUCCCCCUUUUUCCACUGACCUUUGUGCCUGCAUGGCUGUUCUUUUCCCAUGUUCUCUCUCUGCUCUUCUCUAGUCACAAUUACAACUGCACAAUCACUCUUUGUUUAGAUUUCUUCUAAAAUGUGUUAUCACAGAGGUAUUGCCACCAUUUCUAAUUGACAUUUCUGUCUAUGGAACCACCAGGGAUUGGCUCUGCUGGACACUGAGGAAGCUUCUAGUAAUUUCUCAUUGGAGCCAUCGCUGUAACUGCCCCGUUACCAAAACCCAAAGCCACGCAAACCCAAUACAUCAGGAUAUAAAGUCACUUUAAUAAAUGACAUAUGUUUUGGAACUUGGGUGGUAAUGUCACCUUUAAUGAAAUACAAAUGCUACUGAAAGUACAUACUGUAAUCAUAGAAUCCUUUUCUUACGGUUUGGUCUGACUCAACUGAAGCAUCAAAGUCAAGACAAUUUGACAGUAACCAGAUACCAGUUUAUAGCCACCAUUCAUGAAAUGAUUGACUUGGAAUUUCCAGGUGAAGGAUUCUGUGUCCAGGUUUCAUUUAUGAUUAUCUUGAUGGUUGGAUAAAAAAAGUGGUGUCAAUCUCUCUGGAAUUUAUUCACUUCCAUACUUAGAUAAAUCUUCAUAUACUAGAUGUCUGGAACUAAUGCGAUUGCCCUGUAAACUCAAAAUUUAUACUUCUGUCUAGUAAUCACAAACGAUAAUAUUACAAGGAAAAAAUCUAAAAGAGAUGUUAAAAAUCUUCUCUUCAAUGCAGUUCCUCUAAACACUCAAGGGGUAAACUCAAAAUUUAUACUUCUGUCUAGUAAUCACAAACGAUAAUAUUACAGGGAAAAAAUCUAAAAGAUGUUAAAAAUCUUCUCUUCAAUACAGUUCCUCUAAACACUCAAGGGAAAGAUUAUUAUUUUAAUUUUCUGGGAAUACAGUAUAAUCUAGAAAUCAUUUUUUAGUCAGUCUCUUGGCUCACAUUAGAUGUAGAACAAAUGUUAUUUUAAACAUAAUCUGCGACACUUAAUUGCAAGUCCCUGUUCUGCCAGAUAUUUAACCUUUUUUACAUUUAUUAACAUUGUUCCUGAGAGGUCUAUACAACCUGCAAUCUCUCCAUUAUGCCAUUAUCUAAAAGGAAAUCAGUAACACAAGUUUUGAUUAUUUUCUUUUAAAUAUUAUGAAAUAUUUUGCAAGAAUAUAGUGAAGCAAAUGGGGAAUAUUACUUAACAAUUCUGAUACAUUUUGAAAAAGGAUAUGUUAAAGAAAAUGAGCUUGUAAAGAAUUCUGUUUUGAUGGGAUGUCAUAAUAACAUUUCUUAAGUAGUUCUUUCUCUUUCUCUCUGUUCAGUUGUACUUUAUUUUUAAUUAAUUAGAAGGGAGAAAAUUCUACCAGAGCUUUAAUAUUAAAAUUAAGUAUUUAUAAUCUGGUAAUGUCCUCAGGCAGAUCCAUCUGUAGGUCCAAUUACCUUGUACUUAAAUAAUACGUCCUGAAAAAUAUGGAUGCAGGAUUUAAUUUAUACAUACCAAAAAACAUUCAUUGAGCCCAAAAGGAUACUAAUAAAUCUCAUCUUUCUGAGUGUGGGACUAAUGAUUGUCUUAUUGAUUUCUACUUAACAGAAUCAAUCAUACUUUCAAGAGAUUCCCCAACAUUCCUUUUGGAUGCAUAGAUAAAUUCAGGAAUCCUGACUGUGUAGUUAAACUGUGUAUAUCAAUACCUUUUCUUUAAAGUGAUGAUACUAAAAAUACUGAAAGGCCUCUGGACUGCUGACAUUACAUUUUUUUUUAAGAAUAUACUGCAAUACAAGGACUUCUGUGGAACAGAAGCUCAGAUCAAGUUGGUCAGAUCAAAUCAAAAUGAAAAGAGUAUUAGAAGUCCUCACUGCUCACUGUUUUAUCUCAGAGGUAGGUCUUUUCUUUCACCUCACUCUUGCUCUGCGUACAGCAAUGUUUAGUGUCUUGCUGAGUAAUGAAUAAUUCCAAGCAGUGCACUGGAGACCUCUGGAAACUGCCUGUGUAUUGGCUCUGUCUCUUUAUAGUGUGUCUGCUUCCCUUCUUGGUGUGGAGACUUCUGAGUCCUCCCAUUCUGCUUCCUUCCCUCAGGAGAGGGCUGCUGCUCCAAAAAACUGUGUAUUGAUCCAAUAUAUGGCAGUCAGCAGUUAGCAAGUGCAUGACCUCACUCCCUCUGGCUGAGUUGCACCUUCCAGCAAAACACAGUUAUGGCACAAGAGAAAACACAACAAACAAAAGAUAUGUUAUUUUUCAUUCUUAAUGUGAGAUAAUUUGUGUGUAUAUCAAAAUUUUUCAGUGCAUGCAUUAAAUUUGUCACCAAUGGAAAUUUUCUGUCUCCUGACAAGACCAUCUCUUUCCUCACACCUGAAAUUGAGAAGCACAAACACUGUUUAAAAAGAACUGAUCACUGUGCUUGCAUUGAAAGUAUUCUUAAUGUAACAUAAAAUCUGAUCAUAAUAAUAGGAUAUGAAGUUAGAAUAGACGAUUAUUUUAAAAUUGUAACUUGGAAAAAAGAUUCUUUAACUUCACUUUUCAAAAGCCCCAGCUUUUUAAAAUAUAAAAAAGUCACUUGUGUUUCCUUGAGGAAAUGAAAGCCUAGUCAGAGUUUAACACAGAAUUUUCUGUGUCAAGGCCCUGGAGGCAGCACCAGGCCUGGCUGCCCCUCCAAACCCCUUGCAUCUCCCUCCACCCGGUCCAAAGCCUAGUGUCCCAUGUCACCCCCCAGAAAUAUCAGCCCUGCCCCAGCAAUGCCACAACAGGGCUGUCUCCAGCUUCCCUCUGCCCUGUCCUGCCCAGUUGAGCCAGGCUCUCCUGCAGAUCCCAGCCCCGCCUUCACACAUCCCCUGGGCUGUGCGAGGUGCCCAAAGGUGGGGCUGCUCCAUUGCCUCACAGCUGUCCUGCAGCUGGGAAGGGCUGGACUGUCACAGACAUCUUUUGUGAAAAAUCCUUUCUUGGGAUUUUUCUCCCUUCUGAGAAGCUGUGGCCUCAGCAACAAAAUGUAAACAAUGGUUAUCUGCUGCUGUGGAAUGCAACAGGUGGAUCCGUGAUUGGUCUCGGAUGGAUGUUUGGAUUUACUGACCAUUCACAGCAGAGCUGUUCUUGCUUUCUGCUGGGACACAGAUCUUUGUUAUUCAUUCUUUUCUGUUUUAGCUUAGCUAGCUUCUGAGAACUUUCCUUCUAUUCUUUUUGGUGUAGUUAUAAUGUAAUGUGUAUAUCAUAAAAUAAUAAAUCAAGCCUUCUGAACAUGAGGUCAACAUU